GCCUUUGUCGUCGUAUCCGAAGCCGGUGAGCGUGAGCCAGCCUUGAGCGUCGGCGCGGGGCUCCGGCAGGCAGACUGCAUUGAUGAAGCCGUUGGUUGAGGCGAAGUCCACAUCGCGCUCGAGUUGCAGCAGGGCCAGGUCGUAGCUGUACAUGUCGCGCUCGGGGUCCCAGCGGGGGUGCAGCACACGCCGGUA
rnacentral:lncRNA from 1 species